AUACCUUUCUUCGUCUUUUGACUAAGAUAAAGUGUAAUAUUUAUUCUACCAGUUUAAUAUCUUAUGUAUGAACCAUAUGUUUACUUUGAUAUUAAAUUUAUUUUAUACAUUCCCACAUAGUACCACCUCGCUAUCUGAAGCAGGACGAGCGAUCGAGCGAGCUAUA
rnacentral:snRNA from 1 species